GAUGAACGCUGGCGGCGUGCCUAAUACAUGCAAGUCGAGCGAACGGACGAGAAGCUUGCUUCUCUGAUGUUAGCGGCGGACGGGUGGGUAACACGUGGAUAACCUACCUAUAAGACUGGGAUAACUUCGGGAAACCGGAGCUAAUACCGGAUAAUAUUUUGAACCGCAUGGUUCAAAAGUGAAAGACGGUCUUGCUGUCACUUAUAGAUGGAUCCGCGCUGCAUUAGCUAGUUGGUAAGGUAACGGCUUACCAAGGCAACGAUGCAUAGCCGACCUGAGAGGGUGAUAGGCCACACUGGAACUGAGACACGGUCCAGACUACUACGGGAGGCAGCAGUAGGGAAUCUUACGCAAUGGGCGAAAGCCUGACGGAGCAACGCCGCGUGAGUGAUGAAGGUCUUCGGAUCGUAAAAAUCUGUUAUUAGGGAAGAACAUAUGUGUAAGUAAAUGUGCACAUCUUGACGGUACCUAAUCAGAAAGCAACGGCUAACUACGUG
rnacentral:rRNA from 1 species